ACGCGGCGGCGGCGGCGACAUGAACGGGCCACCGCCGCGGUUCCGGUGUCCCCCCGAGUUCGAGGCGGAGGCCGGGGGGGUGACAGUGACACUGGGGGGUCCCCAGGCCGAGCUGUGGCUGAUCCGCGCCCCCGCUGACUUCUGUCCCCAGAGCCUCGAGGGCUGCCCGGUGCCCCUGGACGGCCUCGAGCGGCUCCGUCCCCCCGGUGACGGUGACAGCGGUGACAGCGGUGACACGGGUGACACCGGCGAGCUGUGGGUGCUGCGGGGUGGCCCGGGGACAGGGGACUGUCCCCUCCUGCUGUCCCCAAUGUCCCCGGGGGGGGGCCCUGGGCUGCGCCCCCCCCCUGCGGGGGUCCCUGAGCAUCGCCCGCAGCUUCGGGGGGACACGGGGGACGGCCCGGGUGGCACUUGGGGACACCGGGGUGGCACCUGGGGACACCAAGAUGGCACCUGGGGACACCAGGAUGGCCCGGGUGACACCCAGGGACACCAAGAUGGCACCCGGGGACACCGAGGUGGCACUUGGGGACACCGAGGUGGCACCUGGGGACCCUGAGGUGGCACCUGGGGACACCGAAAUGGCACCUGGGGACACCGAGGUGGCAGCUGGGGACACCGAGGUGGCACCUGGGGACACGGGGACGGUGCCACCCGCGGGGACAGAGCCCCGAGAGGGCC
rnacentral:lncRNA from 1 species